UGACAGAGUCAGUUGUGGUUCUGAACGACCCAACUGUCAGUAUCCUCAUGCGCUGCAAUAUGUAUGCCUUUGGGUUCACUAUGAGCCGGUUAGUUUCAUUUUGAUGUAUGCAAACUAUGAUCAAGAAGUUCCGACCUUUUCAUGGUUUCACUAUGAGCUGGUUAGUUUCAUUUUGAUGUAUGCAAACUAUGAUCAAGAAGUUCCGACCCUUUCAUGGUUUCAAGAAAUCUGUACUUGUGUGAAUAUCCUUUUGGGCUGAAGUGGCUAUCCUGCAUGUUGAUGCUAAGUUUACAAGUCUCUGCUUAUUUAACUGCAGAAUCAACUCUUCCUUUGAUAGAGGUCUUCAUUUUUACUGAUUACCCGGUGCUCUUCUUAAUAUUAAAUAUUUAGAAAAUGUACAUUUGAUUUCUGUUUCUAUGUUUUGUUUUAGCUGACGAUGAAAUGAGGCAGAUUAUCCUCUUUUCAUUAUAGUCAACUGUUCAGUG
rnacentral:lncRNA from 1 species